CUCAGUGAAUUUUGCACAAAUGAACACCCUGUGUAGCCAGCACCUGAUCAACAAACAGGACAUGACCAGUAACUUAGGAGAAUUUUUAAGAGCCAGUUUUGGGCCAAGGUUCAUAGACCUUCAGUAGGUUUGGAGCACAGGAGUCUGCAUGGUGAUGACGGUGAUGAUGAUGAAAAAUAUUUUUUCAAUUAAAGAAACAAAACAGUAACUUUUUUCAAAACAGGAUUAAAAAAAAAAUGCAGAUGGUCCUUCCUUGGAGCAACAAUGAAUGAAACAAAGUAUGUCACCAAUGCCAUGGAAGGGAAUUCCAGGGGACUCCAGAGAGUGAGCAAUGAUGGAAUAGGAAGACAGAGGAGGAAGAUGGUGCUGAGAUGGAUGUUAAGACAUGCUUCAGAGAGGAAAUGACCCGUAAACUGAAUUUUGAACAAAAAUGGGAUUUCAUCAUGGAAGGUGGAAGGAAUUCCAUUCAGAACUGAGGGAGUGGAGACUCUGCAGGUGUUUUGAAACCAUCUGGCAUGUUUGGGAACCUGCCAGGAGUUCAACAAGGCUGAAACACAACCUACGAAGGGAGGAGGGCCCCAGGGAGGAGCGCUGCUGCAGGCAGUCAGAAGCCACCAAAAGCAAACACACCUGCUCUGGUGAGUAACGUGCUGUGGGGAGAUUCUGAUGACCCCUGCAUCAGAGCCUCCCUCUUUUCCUUUCUUCAGAAUUGAGCAGCUACUACACAGCAGGCACCAAGCUAAGUACCAGGGAUACACUCUUAAGCAAAAACCAAGUCCCUGUCUUUAUCUAGAUUAAAGAAAAGACAAGCCUUAAGCACAUAAUCACCACAAGAGCAAAACUGUAAGUGCAUUCCGCGAAGUGCAAAAAAAGGUAAGACUUGGGGCUUCCCUGGUGGCGCAGUGGUUGAGAGUCUGCCUGCCAAUGCACGGGACGCAGGUUCGUGCCCCGGUCCGGGAAGAUCCCACAUGCCGCGGAGGGGCUGGGCCCGUGAGCCAUGGCCGCUGAGCCUGCACGUCCGGAGCCUGUACUCCGCAGCGGGAGAGGCCACAACAGUAAGAGGCCCGCGUACCGCAAAAAAAAAAAAAAAAGGUAAGACUCCUGGUGCCAUGAGGGCACACGCCAGGGGGACCUGGCCUAGUCUUAAACUUUAGUAGCUGAAAUGAUAUUUAAGCUAAAUUCUGAAUAUCGAAUAGAAGUUAACUAAGGUGGGGGUGGAAGUGGAGGAGGUAUUCUUAGGAGGUAUUCUUACCAUAAAUGUGGUAGGCACUUGCUGACUGACAGGAUGAAUUGACCCUGUCCCUCUCAAUAGGGCAAAUCAAAAGUAAGGAAGAUUAUUCACUGGAACAAACCAUUGGAGAGGGUUCUGGCCAAUCCCAUUCUCUUUACUGUUUUUCUAUAUGGGUUGAUGGAGCAUUUUCUACUCGAUACUAUUGUUGCCUAUUUUAGUUUUUUGUUGUUGGGUUAUUUUUUUUGUUUUGUUUCUGGUCAACAGAGGUGGAAAAAUAUAUCAUUAGCAGCUGCCACUACCAGUAAUAACCGUGUGUACAGGACUGUAGCCCACCUCACAUGAACCAACCUCCUGUCAGUCACUAAUAUUUUUUGAGCAGCUACCAAUUAUGAUUUGGUGAAGGGAGGUGGAGUGUGGCUGCCUAGAAAUUUGAUAAGCUAUAAUCAGAGCGACCCCAAGUACUGGGCAUAAGUUUAGGAAUGGAGCUGGGUUUAGCAAAAUGAUAGCAGUCUUCUUAUCUAACAUUUAUUGACUUCUUACAUGUACUAAGCACACUAUUGUCAUCUUUUUAAAUUAGCACAGUAGUCACUUGAGUUGGGUACUGUUAUUAUCCUCAUAUUUUGAAGGAGAGAACUAGAGCUUAGGGAGGCUAACCUGCCCACUUUCACACAGCAGAAAAUGUAUAACAGACAUUUGAAGUCAGGUCUGGGUGGCCCUAGAACCUGCACGUUUCAUAACUCAGCCACAGUGCCUCCCAAAAGGUGGCGUAUCUCCGGUCACCUGCAGACUUUACGCCAUGGUUGCGAACACCUGAUAUAGUAUUCCACUGCCCACACAGCAUUGCUCUUCACAACAAUUACUGGGUCCCUUUAUUUCUCACUGAAAUGUUUUUGCAGUCUAGUAUCUUUUUGUCUCCAAAAGAGCCUUUUUUCCCUUUUUAUUUUUUAAAUUAUUUUUAAAAUUUAUUUAUUUAUUUAUUUCUGGCUGCGUUGGGUCUUCAUUUGCUGCACGCAGGCUUUCUCUAGUUGUGGCGAGCAGGGGCUACUCUUCAUUGCGGUGUGCGUGCUUCUCAUUGCGGUGGCUUCUCUUUGUUGCGGAGCGCAGGUUCUAGGCACGCAGGCUCAGCAGUUGCGGCACGUGGGCUCAGUAGUUGUGGUGCAUGUGCUUAGUUGCUCCGCAGCAUGGGGGAUCUUCCUGGACCAGGGUUCGAACCUGUAUCCCCUGCAUCAGCAGGCAGAUUCUUAACCACUGCGCCACCAGGGAAGCCAGUCCCAUUUUUUAAAAUUAAUUAAUUAAUUUUUGGCUGCAUUGGGUCUUUGUUUCCCUUUUUUAAAAAAAUGUCCUAGCGGGCUUCCCUGGUGGCCCUAUGGUUGGGAGUCCACCUGCCGAUGCAGGGGACACGGGUUCGUGCC
rnacentral:lncRNA from 1 species